GAUUUCUGGUUUGGUGCGCCUGGCCCGCCACGGUUUCGUGUGUGAGUGCUGGGUCGCGCCUGCCAUCCUUCUAGAGAACGUCUCUACUCUUCAUUGAGCCGGAGGCGCCAUCUAGAUCUUUUACUUUGAAAAAAUUAGAGUGUUUAAAGCAGGCUUGCGCUAUGAAUACAUUAGCAUGGAAUAAUAAUUUAGGACUUUGGUCUUAUUUUGUUGGUUUCUAGGACUAAAGUAAUGAUUGAUAGGGACAGUUGGGGGUGCUAGUAUUCAGCGGCCAGAGGUGAAAUUCUUGGAUUCGCUGAAGACUAACUUAUGCGAAAGCAUU
rnacentral:rRNA from 1 species